ACUGUGCUGACGAGUCUCAAAUAGGACGAAACACGCGUCUUGAAU
rnacentral:hammerhead_ribozyme from 1 species